rnacentral:rRNA from 1 species
AUUGAACGCUGGCGGCAGGCCUAACACAUGCAAGUCGAACGGUAACAGGAAACAGCUUGCUGUUUCGCUGACGAGUGGCGGACGGGUGAGUAAUGUCUGUGAAACUGCCUGAUGGAGGGGGAUAACUACUGGAAACGGUAGCCAAUACCGCAUAACGUCGAAAGACCAAAGAGGGUGACCUCCGGGCCUCUCGCCAUCGCAUGUGCCCAGAUGGGAUUAGCUAGUAGGUGGGGUAACGGCUCACCUAGGCGACGAUCCCUAGCUGGUCUGAGAGGAUGACCAGCCACACUGGAACUGAGACACGGUCCAGACUCCUACGGGAGGCAGCAGUGGGGAAUAUUGCACAAUGGGCGCAAGCCUGAUGCAGCCAUGCCGCGUGUAUGAAGAAGGCCUUCGGGUUGUAAAGUACUUUCAGCGGGGAGGAAGGGAGUAAAGUUAAUACCUUUGCUCAUUGACGUUACCCGCAGAAGAAGCACCGGCUAACUCCGUG